UACGGAGGGGGCUAGCGUUGUUCGGAAUUACUGGGCGUAAAGGGCUCGUAGGCGGCCAACUAAGUCGGAUGUGAAAUCCCCAGGCUUAACCUGGGAACUGCAUCCGAUACUGGAUGGCUUGAAUCCGGGAGAGGGAUGCAGAAUUCCAGGUGUAGCGGUGAAAUGCGUAGAUAUCUGGAGGAAUGCCGGUGGCGAAGGCGGCAUCCUGGACCGGCAUUGACGCUGAGUGAGCGAAAGCCAGGGGAGCAAACGGG
rnacentral:rRNA from 1 species